UACGAAGGGGGCUAGCGUUGCUCGGAAUCACUGGGCGUAAAGGGUGCGUAGGCGGGUUUCUAAGUCAGAGGUGAAAGCCUGGAGCUCAACUCCGAGCCUGCGUUCGAUACUGGACGGCUAGAGUCUGGUAGGGGGACCUGGAAUUCCUGGUGUAGCGGUGGAAUGCGUAGAGAUGUGGAGGAACACCGAUGGCGAAGGCAGCCCCCUGGGCCGAUACUGACGCUCAGGCACGAAAGCGUGGGGAGCAAACAGG
rnacentral:rRNA from 1 species